rnacentral:rRNA from 1 species
AGUAACGGCGAGUGAAGCGGCAACAGCUCAAAUUUGAAAUCUGGCUCUCGGGCCCGAGUUGUAAUUUGUAGAGGAUACUUUUGAUGCGGUGCCUUCCGAGUUCCCUGGAACGGGACGCCAUAGAGGGUGAGAGCCCCGUCUGGUUGGAUGCCAAAUCUCUGUAAAGUUCCUUCAACGA